ACCGUUUCCUCAGCCUAGACUACCUCUCCCUUCAAUAAGUCAGCAGUAAGUACCGUUUCCUCAGCCUAGACUACCUCUCCCUCCAAUAAGUCAGCAGUAUGUACCGUUUCCUCAGCCUAGACUACCUCUCCCUUCAAUAAGUCAGCACAGAUGUACAUUGCCUCGGUCCUCCAGGACCCCAGCUUAGACGAGCUGGGUUCGGCUGGCAGCGGGGUCAGCGAGGGUUCGCAGGACGAGGAGAUCAUCCAAGUGGGGAACAGCCUCAAUGAGGCCGACUUCCAGAGUGGCGAGGACAGUCUUCUCGCUAACGAGGUGCGGCACUGACGUCAGGGGACGCCGGAGACGGCUGUCAGGGUGGAGACGGAGGACGGGGAGAGAGAAGAUGAGACUGAGAUGGCAGAAACUAAAGUUUAAUUUCACCCGAGUGGAUGGAUGCACUGACCUAGUGUGUUAAGCUACAGAGCUGAAACGGACGGACACAGCUUUAAAAGACAUGGAUAGACCACUAACCUUGAAGUCCUGAACAGACUAUUACAUUGUCUACACACCACACACCACACACCACACCACACACACCACACACACACACACAGUGUGUCUACUAAAGGACGGGUAACUCUCCCUUACAACUAUUGAUCUAGCGCUGACUGUGAAGGAGAGAUCUUUCCUUCCCAUAAUCCUUUGCCUGUUCUGCCUGCACCCCUAAUCGUCUCUGUGCCCUAGAGGCUUCGUCACAAUAAGCAGCCUAAUAUGAGAAGAUGAAGAAGAGGAGGAGGAGGAAUGUCUGUCAGCAUACAGCACAU